rnacentral:rRNA from 1 species
UACGGGGGGAGCAAGCGUUGUUCGGAUUUACUGGGCGUAAAGGGCGCGUAGGCGGUCAGCACAAGUCAGUUGUGAAAUCUCCGGGCUUAACUCGGAAAGGUCAACUGAUACUGUGCGACUAGAGUGCGGAAGGGGCAACUGGAAUUCUCGGUGUAGCGGUGAAAUGCGUAGAUAUCGAGAGGAACACCUGCGGCGAAGGCGGUUCUCUGGGAAUGUCCUGACGCUGAGGAGCGAAAGUGUGGGGAGCGAACAGG